GCCGGACACGGUGGCUCGUGCCUGUAGUCCCAGCUACCCAGGAGGCUGAGGCAGGAGGAUCGCUUGAGUCCAGGAGUUCUGGGCUGUAGUGCGCUAUGCCGAUCGGGUGUCCGCACUAAGUUCUGCAUCAAUAUGGUGACCUCCCGGGAGCGGGGGGACCACCAGGUUGCCUAAGGAGGGGUGAACCUGCCCAGGUCAGAAUGGCAGAUAGCUAUUGUAAUACACGGUGGAGAACAAAAACAACUAGUCGGCUGGAAGGUAACCAUUUGCAUAU
rnacentral:SRP_RNA from 1 species